rnacentral:sRNA from 1 species
ACUCAACACUAAUUCUUUAAGGAGGGUGAGUUUAAGUUGUGAAAGCGUGCUGCCUUGAGCAGAUUUUUGAGCAGCUUGUUAGCCCUAAACUUGUUUUAAGGAGUUU